CACCGGUUCUCUCACGAUCUUUGAUGUUAAGCAUCGUCGAGCAAGGUCAAUACCUAGAUGGGUGAUCGCUUGGGAAUACUAGGUGCUGUAA